rnacentral:sRNA from 1 species
UUUUCGUUUUUGUGCGUGUGCUGCAGAAAAUUUCAGAUUUCUCGCAGAUUGGGUUUAUGGCUCGGCUAAUGCUGGACCCAUCACGUAUACGCAGUGUUGACAAUGGCAGACCAAGUGGGUAUUUUCCCGCCUAUUUACUAAAAUGUUGAAGUUCCACAGGACAUGGUUUCUUUUCACAAGUCAGGAGGCAGGACAUGCAUGCAAAAUGAUUUCCGUUUGACUGUAAUUUAUAGGCAGCCGGUCUGCUGCACUCGUUGCUAACCAUUCAACCUCUACAGUAACUCCCCCAGAACUACCAUAAAAUACCCCCAAAAGCUCCCAUUUAACCGUCAUCCCUGGCAUCCUGGCCAGCUGCUGCAUCAUCAUAUCCCAUCCCAUUCUACGGAUGCCUUUUGUUGACUUUACGGCUAUGCAAAGUCUGGCAUAUUUAUAGAUUGAGUGGCAGCGUGGGCGAACAGUGGGCGGACAGGGGGCGUGGCAUUAGCUUUUUUUUUACUAAUGGCCCGGCAGAUGAUGAUGCUCUCGACACCACUUGGCCAGCCGCUUUCGUCGUUUUUUAAUCUAUAUUUAAAUUUAUCCAGCACGAAAUGUCAAGGCGAACCAUUUAGAAUCGCCACAAAAAUCACAAAUCAAACUUGAUAUCUGAAAAUCAAAUUACGUUCUCAUAGGCAACGCAGCGUAUAUGGUCAAAUGCGAAAAUAAUAAGUAAAUACAGAAAA